UGGGGUAUCGUGAUGUCAUUAUGGGGUAUUGUGAGUAGAUUGAUGAGGACAUUUUUUUAUUUAAUAUAUUUUUGAAUAAGACUGUAACGUAACAAAAUGAGGAAAAAGUCAAAGGGUCUGAAUACUUUCCCAAGGCACUGUAACUGCCUUAAUGUUGCUAGACCCCAGUUAGAGUAGAUGUUGCCUUGGCAGUAACUAAUGGGGAGCCAUAAUAAACCCCAGGAAGAGUAGAUGUUGCCUUGGCAGGAACUAAUGGGGUAUGGUAGCCGACAACAUUAAAAGAGUUCAACUUCUUUCAGCAAAAAACAAGAAUCUGUGGUUGCAGUGGUUUCUAAGGAACGAAAACACUGGAAAAUUGGAAAACAUUGCCCGGACUGAUGAACCCCGGUUUCUGCUGUUUCACACUGAUGGGGGGACUAAGGAUAAUGCCCCCAAUGCCACUAGGCUAGGUUUAUCCAGGAAUAGUUCUGCAAACAUGACAGUGAAUUCAGCUUACUGCAUUGGCCUGCCCAGACGCCAUGAUCUCCAUCCAAUUGCGCGUCUGUGGGCUGAGAUGAAACGAGCAAUUCGGAGUUGAGAUUCACUGCCAGCCAUCUUGACACAACUGUGGGAAGCACUGGAGUCGACAUGGGGCCAGCAUCCCUGUGGAAUGCUUUCGACACCACGUAGAGUCUAUGCCCUGACGAAUUGAGGCUGUUCUGAGGGCAAAAUGAGGUGUACCUAAUGUUUUGUACACUCAGUGCAUGUGAUACAACACCGGUAUUCUCAUUUAUGUUAGAUUCUCAUUGCUAAGGCAGAUCUGUGAGUAAUAAUUUUUAUUAUAACAUAACACCUCACUCUUAUAUUGUUAAUAUCAGGACAUUCAUUUUCACAGCUGUUUAAUCACAGGUUUUGUUUCACUUUAUUAAAGCCCUCCAGCUUCUCCUGUGAGGGUUUCAGGGCAAUGUGGAGUUCCUUCUGGAAUGGAACAUUGACACUUGAAGUCCCUGGUUAGUAUCCAGGCUGUAUCACAUCCGGCCGUGAUUGGGAGUCCCAUAGGGCAGCGCACAAUUGGCCCAGCGUCGUUUAGGUUUGGCCGGGG
rnacentral:lncRNA from 1 species